rnacentral:ncRNA from 16 species
AAAUUGAAGAGUUUGAUCAUGGCUCAGAUUGAACGCUGGCGGCAGGCCUAACACAUGCAAGUCGAACGGUAACAGGAAGCAGCUUGCUGCUUCGCUGACGAGUGGCGGACGGGUGAGUAAUGUCUGGGAA